GAUGAACGCUAGCUACAGGCUUAACACAUGCAAGUCGCAGGGUAACAUGAGGAAAGCUUGCUUUCCUUGAUGACGACUGGCGCACGGGUGAGUAACGCGUAUCCAACCUUCCCAUAACUACGGGAUAACCCGUUGAAAGACGGCCUAAUACCGUAUGAUAUCGUUUGCUGACAUCAACUAGCGAUUAAAGGUUUAGCGGUUAUGGAUGGGGAUGCGUCUGAUUAGCUUGUUGGCGGGGUAACGGCCCACCAAGGCGACGAUCAGUAGGGGUUCUGAGAGGAAGGUCCCCCACAUUGGAACUGAGACACGGUCAAAACGCUUACGGGAGGAAGCAGUGAGGAAUAUUGGUCAAUGGGCGAGAGCCUGAACCAGACAAGUAGCGUGCAGGACGACGGCCCUAUGGGUUGUAAACUGCUUUUAUGUGGGGAUAAAGUGCGUGACGUGUCAUGCAUUGCAGGUACCACAUGAAUAAGGACAGGCUAAUUACGUG
rnacentral:rRNA from 1 species